GAUGAACGCUGGCGGCGUGCCUAAUACAUGCAAGUCGAGCGAACAGAUGAGGAGCUUGCUCCUCUGACGUUAGCGGCGGACGGGUGAGUAACACGUGGAUAACCUACCUAUAAGACUGGGAUAACUUCGGGAAACCGGAGCUAAUACCGGAUAAUAUAUUGAACCGCAUGGUUCAAUAGUGAAAGACGGUUUUGCUGUCACUUAUAGAUGGUUCCGCGCCGCAUUAGCUAGUUGGUAAGGUAACGGCUUACCAAGGCGACGAUGCGUAGCCGACCUGAGAGGGUGAUCGGCCACACUGGAACUGAGACACGGUCCAGACUCCUACGGGAGGCAGCAGUAGGGAAUCUUCCGCAAUGGGCGAAAGCCUGACGGAGCAACGCCGCGUGAGUGAUGAAGGUCUUCGGAUCGUAAAGCUCUGUUAUUAGGGAAGAACAAAUGUGUAAGUAACUAUGCACGUCUUGACGGUACCUAAUCAGAAAGCCACGGCUAACUACGUG
rnacentral:rRNA from 1 species